UAGGCGUUCCGUUCCGUUCCGUUCCGUUCUGUUCGAGGCAGAAUUGAGAAAGAGUAGAAGACUGUUCUCUCGCAAUAGAUAAAAUUUCAUGCAUAUGAUGGCCUUUCGAUUAUGGUAAUGAUCAUUCACGCACGGAUUCUACAGGAGGACGAAGCAAUCUUCUGCUGAUUGUUAAGGUAGAGAUAAAGGAAAGCUCGGCAGCUGGUCAAAGAUCGUUGCGGAUCUCUAUAGAUCCUACAAUAUAAAUCGUACGGUCUGCCUUUCUAAAACACGUGCCAGCCACAUGUUGCACAAAAGGGGAAUCCUCAGUGAUCCUUUCGAGCAUCGUAGCGUAAGUCGUAGUCACAAAGGAGCUUUAGGAGGCCAUAAAUGAUUCUCUUUCGGUCGUAGAGAUCGAAGAGCAGCAGAUGUUUUGUCGCCUUCGUAUCUUCGAAGACGUUCCUCCACCUUGAUCCAGACGGCAAGAAAGAGAAGAACAGAAAGAAAAGAAAAGAAAAGAAAGGAAAAGAAAGGAAAAGAAAGAAAAGAAUUUACGAUUGGUCCUUUGAUGAUUUCUUCCAAAUUAUCGGAAAGUUUCCAGGUAAAGGAUCGAAGGAAUAUGUUUCAAUUUUCUUCCCCAGUGGAAUUUUGGAAGUUAAUCUUGGGCAGCUGUGCAACAGUUUGCCUCUAUGGUGCAUCUAAUGAUUAGUACAGUCUACGACGAGGAUAGAGGAACUGAAAGAUUCUUGAGAAGGAACACGUGGUUGCGACCAUCUGUUGGCAUCCUGCUCCGGUUAUAACCCGACCUAAGCUGGCCCUUUUACUUACUUGUAGAGAAACACACUUUUCCGACAACUUUUCCAUUACUGUAAUAUGAUAUCGAAAAAAACGAUAUCAUCGUAAAAGAUGGGGUCACGUGGAACGUUUAAGCGGUCCGCUUUGAGUUCGCGGUAAAAGGUGUUCGAAGCAGGUAAAGCAUUCCUACUGAAACAGCUCUACCUGACCCACGCUGCCUGGCUUUCACGCUGCAUUUUCGGCCCAACAACAGUUUCUCUCCAUGUACGAGAUCUAAAAGGAACUACAUACAUACAAGAUACCUAAAAUGUAUAAUAUGUACCUACAUAGAUGCUAAGUGAAAAAUAUGUCAAGAAGAAUUGAAGAAAGAAAGUUGUCGAAGGAAAACGAGGAGAAAGAUGUCCCGAAACUGUCUUCUAAAAUCUUACUUAUUCGACUGGACGGCGAAUUACUGUACAUAUGUACAGUAUGUACAGUAUGUACAUAUGUACAGUAUGUAUAUUGAAAGAAAAUCCUAAGGAACGCGUCGUACGAGUCUCAGAAUUAUUGAAAGCGGUGCUCGAAAGCCCUGGCUUAAGAACCCAAUAUCGAGGGUUCUCCAGGAAGCUUUAGAUAUUGCGCAUCUACCAAAAAUCGUUCCGUGAAACGUGCUUUCUCCGUAUCGGACGAUAUUUCUCUAACAAGCAGUUUAAAGAAGGACAAGGAUAAAAGACAUAGGAGAGGAAACGUGUGGCGAGACUGUUUCUUCUCUGGAAUAUCCGGUUCGCCACGCGUACUGCGUGUGUCUUGCUUCACGUCACAACACACACCUGCUUCCUUACAGCUGUUCCCUGGUUCGUGGUGGCAAACUCUCUUGUC